rnacentral:sRNA from 1 species
UGAAGAAGAUGAAGAAGAAGAAGAAC